rnacentral:lncRNA from 1 species
UGAAAGGAAAGUUAUGAUCCACGCCGGGCGUUUUCUUUGUUUGUUGUUAGAAAAACCGUAGGAGUGGGCGGGUUUGCUCGCGUUUGGUGAGGGAGGUACUGAACGGGCAUGAUGUCAAUCAUUGUGUGCCAACCUGAGGAAUUCUCAUGUCUAUCAUUGUAGUAAAUACUGCUUAUGUUUGAAACAGCAGAUCAGAGAAACUAUAUUUUGCAUGGAGAGGGACUGUUGUGAGGUCACCUGAAACAACUAGCUUUAUUGGACUCACGAUGGACAAGGUAAGGUGUGGCACAGGAAGACGUAAUUGACUAAUAAGUUUUCCAAUCAUAGGGGCAGGAAUCCGGCAGAAGUUGAGUCGAUUUUGUACAGCAGUUUCAAGCUGAAUUUCAGUCUCGGCAAGAUCGUGAGGAUAGCAGCUGUCCUUCGGGGGGAGUGGACCAGUAUAUUCACGUAGACACGUUGUUGAACCGUUUGAAAUCCCAUUUUGU